rnacentral:rRNA from 1 species
GCUGGCGGCACGCCUAACACAUGCAAGUCGAACGAAGUAGCAAUACUUAGUGGCAGACGGGUGAGUAACAUGUAGGUAUCUGCCCUUUGGCCUGGAAUAACACGAGGAAACUUGUGCUAAUACCGGAUAAGUCUUUACGGAGAAAGCUUUAUGCACCAUUGGAUGAGCCUGCACUUGAUUAGUUUGUUGGUGGGGUAAUGGCCUACCAAGACUGUGAUCAAUAGCUGAUUUGAGAGGAUGAUCAGCCACAUUGGGACUGAGACACGGCCCAAACUCCUACGGGAGGCAGCAGUGGGGAAUCUUGCACAAUGGAGGAAACUCUGAUGCAGCGAUGCCGCGUGAGUGAAGAAGGCCCUUGGGUUGUAAAGCUCUUUCGUCGGGGAAGAAAAUGACUGUACCCGAAUAAGAAGGUCCGGCUAACUUCGUGCCAGCAGCCGCGGUAAUACGAAGGGACCUAGCGUAGUUCGGAAUUACUGGGCUUAAAGAGUUCGUAGGUGGUUGAAAAAGUUAGUGGUGAAAUCCCAGAGCUUAACUCUGGAACUGCCAUUAAAACUUUUCAGCUAGAGUAUGAUAGAGGAAAGCAGAAUUUCUAGUGUAGAGGUGAAAUUCGUAGAUAUUAGAAAGAAUACCAAUUGCGAAGGCAGCUUUCUGGAUCAUUACUGACACUGAGGAACGAAAGCAUGGGUAGCGAAGAGGAUUAGAUACCCUCGUAGUCCAUGCCGUA